CCUUUGUGGGACAUUUGGCCAAUCCCCAACAACGGGUAUUGUACUUGGCAGAGUGCGGGAGAGUAAUUCUCGACUCGGGGACAAUGUCAGUUGUUGGGCGUUUGGUCUACUGUUUACAGAUGACACUUCACAAACUUCUUCAGUAGUCGGAAGUUCCCUCCACAAGGAUGAAUGAAUAUGUUUUAUGGUUGUAUUUUGAUGUACCAAAGAUGUGAGCAAAUUCAUUUACUUGAUCGCUUUGCCUUGAAUCUGUGUCUGUGGAUUACUUUGUAGUAUGAGUGUAUAUCCAUAGAUGGAUAAUAGAUAUGCGAAGAUUUCAUGCUUCUGUUUGGGAAGUUUUAUAUUGUUGUAUUAGUCCGUUUUAUUAAUCCAGUUGUAGGAAGGUUUAUUUUUAGAAGACUUUGGUUCUCUUUUACUGAAGGCCCAACUUAAAGAUAUAUCACAAAGAAAAUUUGGUUAGUUAUGUGCUUGAGGGAUUUUUGUUGUUAGAUUCAAGGUUUGAAGUUUGAGCAAAUUAUUCUUGGAGGAUUCAAGGCUGUUUUCCUGUUUCUUUUGCAACUGCAUUGGUGGUUGAAUCCAUUAGAUCAAAAAGCUUUGCAUCUGCUAUCAUAGGUAAGGAUGAGGAGAAAUGUAGUCUCUGCCGAACCUAGGUCUGUGAUGCCCCUUUUCUUAAAGCCUUUUGUUCCAAGUCCGGGUUGUUGUGGAAAACAGAUCGAUACAUGGUUUUCUCUGUUGCAACUGCAGUCGUUCCAGAUAUCCAAGCAUCCAAAUUGGUCGCUAUCAUGAUGCAUGUGAACACCAAAUGGUCUAAGUCACUGUUUCCCUUUGUCAAACAUGGAGAGGAGUAUAGAGUAACAGGCAGUCAUCGGAACUUAAGCACGACUGAUGUAACCAUCUUGGGUGCAAUACAGGUGCGUGCAGAGAUUCAACUACCAUCAACAUUUGUGCCGAGAAUUUUUUUUGGAGUUUUUGCGAUAUGGGAAACAGAUCAUGGAUGGAGUUUACAUAGUUGUUGAUUUCACAAGCCUUUAUUUUGGUGAUCCUUGUAAAGUGUAAUAGUGAAAAGAGACCAUCAGGAGUCAUAAUCAGGGAACAUGGACCUAAAGAUUGUGAGAUUAUAUGGAUUGAGAAUGUGGAAGUGGAUGAAACCAGAGAAAACAUAAACUCCUCCAUAAUCAAUUCAAAUGUUGCACACAGUGCAGAUCGUUCAAUAAGCACACUGUUAUGGAAUCUGAAGCGUGAGAAGAGUUCAUUCGUUGAUCUCAAAAUCGUUGUGCAUCGCAGAGCUGGUUCUUUUCUCUUGGCUUUAACUCGAGCUAUGAAGCGUUUCUUUAUGGAAUGUGUUUCUCAGUAUCCUGACGAAGCUGUAAUUGCUGUAGCAACUAGUCAUGAAGAUCCAAUAAGGAUUCUGCAUAACCAUACACUAACAGAUCAAGUUGCCUUCGUCGGCUUGAACAGUUUCAGGGUUCAAGCUAAACCGCAGUCGGUUAUUCAAUUUUUGAUGGAAAAAGAUAUACUGUUGGAGGUAUGAA